rnacentral:sRNA from 1 species
AAAAAUAUUUUCUUUGGUUAAAAUCAAAAUCACGCGAAUUUAAGACCCAUUUCUGGACGAAACUCUAAGAAUAGAGGCGUCAAAAAGUUGCAAGAAUUCAAGAGAAGUGAAGAAUUAGUGGAGGAGAUGCGGAAGCUCAAAUAA